GACGAACGCUGGCGGCGUGCCUAACACAUGCAAGUCAACUUGACUGAAGGAGCAAUCUGACAGUAGAGUGGCGCAAGGGUGCGUAACGCGUAAGUAACUUGCCCCAAGGUAAGGAAUAACGUCGAGAAAUCGGCGCUAAUACCUCAUAAUGCAGCGGAUCCGCAUGGAUAUGUUGUUAAAGGUUUACCGCCUUGGGAUAGGCUUGCGUCUGAUUAGCUAGUUGGUGUGGUAACGGCACACCAAGGCUACGAUCAGUAACUGGUCUGAGAGGAUGAUCAGUCACACUGGAACUGAGACACGGUCCAGACUCCUACGGGAGGCGGCAGUGAGGAAUAUUGGGCAAUGCUCGAAAGAGUGACCCAGCAACGCCGCGUGGAGGAUGAAGGUAUUCUAUAUCGUAAACUCCUGUGAGAGCAGACGAAAGACAGAUUAUUAAUCUGGAUGACUGUAUGCUCAGAGGAAGCCCCGGCUAACUACGU
rnacentral:rRNA from 1 species